GGGCAGGGUCCGAGAACGCAGGGAUGCACGGGCAGUGAGCAGCAAUGAGCGGGCAAAGCUGCGCGGGCGGAGGUUUAGUUCCCAUCAGCUUCGCUGACUCCCUUCAGAGGAGUAAAGGCCACAGGAGAAAUCCUACUCAAGAAAACACAUUCUUUGCCCUGGAAACCUCGUUAUCUUAUGUGAUCCAGGGUUUUUAAUUAAGGUGUUUCUUUGGGGAUCAGCUCAUCUGGGGCUUCACAAAGUGGCCUGAAUGGUUGAAAAGGACACUUACAGUGUGUUGCAUUUGUGCUGGUGUCGCGGUGCAGACGCACAGGUCCCUGUUUGGAAGCAGCUGGCUGUGUCGGCGUAGUGUUCGGUCGUGUACAGCAGGGAGAAUGCAGCCUGUUAAACGCUGGGGCAGCUCGUGCAGCACGCUGACACGCUGGACUGUGUUACGCUCCUGGAGUUUGAUUAUAAGAUUUGUCUAGGGUUCUGACUCAAACCUGUUGGCUCGGGGGCUUCAGAGACUGCUACCAGGAGCGUGGUUCCUUGCUCGUGUCACCAAAGGCAGAUCCUUCCCUGUUGAAGUCUCCUCAGGUGCCAGCGUCUCUGAGAGCAGAGCUGCGUGGUGGUGCCUGCCUGCACUGAGCUACCCCGUAAGUUGCACAUAAACCCUGUGCUAAAGCUAGAUAUCAUUUCUGCUGGGAUUUUAAGCCCAAAAAAUUUCAUCAUUCAGGCACAGCCCUGGUGUUGGUAAGGGUGGUUCAAUUCCUGUAUCUGCAGGACAGAAACUUUCUCCCUGACCAUCUCUCUGUUGCAGUUCCCCCACCCAGUGUGUGCCAUCCUUGACCACAAACGCGGUCAUUGUUCCGUAUCAUUUUCAGCCAUGCAGCGCAGCACCGCUGCAGCGCUCUGGGCUCCUUUCCCACACCACAUCCUCAUGACACCAGAAUGUUUCCCCGUGUGUUCAGGACGAUGGUGGGAGCAGGUUUUGUGCAUUGGUGAGACUCAUCUGUGAUUGUGGGAACGUGUUCUGCCAGAAGCCGGUGUUUCCCAAGCGUUAAUUACACAGCCUUGUGUUUUCUUCUGUUCCCAACUGUAAAACAGAGAUACCCUUCUUAACUCAUGCCAUCGCUUCGGUUCACCACAGCUUGCAAACUGCUUCUGGAGCCACAGAUGGGAGGCACUGGAGAAGUGACAAAGAUGAUUAAUAAGGAGGUUAUUAACAAAUGCCAUAGGUCAAAUUCUGCACCGGUUCCCAAGUUAGUGCUUGACACAGAGGUCAGUGUCAUGAACGACUUCCCAUGUGGCUGUGAGAUGGACUCAACACUUGGAUGUAAAGCCGGGAUAGGCAAAAAUUAGGUUAAACAGAUUUGACCUGCACCUGAUAGGAACGUUUCCGAGGGAACAGGGUGAUUUCUGUGAUAAUUCAAAAGUAUAAAACCAUCUCCCCAGGUGAGUUACGAGUGGUCCCGCAGACUGAUGUGGCUGUUUUCCAAGCUGGCUUGUCUGCACUUUUGUGAUUUGACACACUUAGCAAAAAUCUCUGAAUCUUUGAUGGUCCUGGACAAGCAGCAAAGUGUGUACUUGCAGUGGGAGAAAAGCACCUCUCUUCUGAAAUAUGGUUUCCGUUUAAACUUCCAGAAGGCUCCUAGCUCUGGGCUGCCUGUGUUUAUCUGUGCUCAGAGUGAAUGAGAGUUGGAAAAGGGGAAAGAGAGAAUGGCUGCUUUUUAAAAAGCUAAUUUAAAAGCAGGCGCAGUCUUUUGUAAAGAUGAUUCUGAUUGUCCAGAGCUCUUUUAGAGGGACAAUGUUAAAUGCAUUUGUAUUGAGAAUGUGGGAUUAGACACAUGCGCAAAAUGAACGAUGUCUUCUUUAUUUAUUUCAUACUUAAAUGGCAAUGUCUAAAUCAGUCAAUUCCUGAAGAGUCAGGAAUGCAAGGGGUUUUUAUGUAUGGUUAUUGUUAAUUCAUAAAGCUCUUUAUCUCUAGAUUUGUUUAUUAGCUAUUUCUAAGUUGUCACUAACCUUCUGACCACUGUCCUUGUGUCACCAAAGGGGGAAGAUAUGUGUCGAAUGUAAAUGGCAAAAUUGGUUGGAAGCUACAGGUUUAAUCUUGGCAGUGAAUAUCCCAAGACUCUUGAUCAGAAGAGAGUGGACUAAGCUUCAGGCAAAACGAUGACCUUGGCUUGCAAGCGAGAAUGUUUUUGAAAGAGUUGAAAGGACAUUUCAUGGAGCACAGUGACCUGUCCUGGAGGGUUCUCCCUGGCCUGUCGUUUCAUGUUUUGCAGUCUCAUCUGAGACAACUGCAUUUGGGAUUUCCCUUCCAGCCUAUCUCCCACAGAACACUUCAGAGUGGGUAUGUUUCUGUAGUGCAAGACUAUGCCUUGGGAGCACUGCAGACCAUGGGUGGGAAGACGUCCCACGUGAAGACUGCCUUUAUGCACUGUUCCUCAG